rnacentral:rRNA from 1 species
UACGGAGGGUGCAAGCGUUAUCCGGAUUCACUGGGGUUAAAGGGUGCGUAGGUGGGCAGGUAAGUCAGUGGUGAAAUCUCCGAGCUUAACUCGGAAACUGCCGUUGAUACUAUUUGUCUUGAAUAUUGUGGAGGUAAGCGGAAUAUGUCAUGUAGCGGUGAAAUGCUUAGAUAUGACAUAGAACACCAAUUGCGAAGGCAGCUUACUACACAACGAUUGACGCUGAGGCACGAAAGCGUGGGGAUCAAACAGG